UCCAGAACUUGCAGUGUGGAUUGGCAACUCGGUUCUAGAGCUUGUUGAAAUUAAUUAAAGCUUCAAACUGUUUGGAUGGGAUUAAAGCUCCCCUUAUGCUACGCUUUAAUUUGGCAGCUCUGUUCUAGAGCUCGUUCAAGGCUUCACGCAAUUUGGAUUGCAUUACAGCUCCCCCUUAUUCAUUCAUGGGUGAAUAGCUCCCAUGCGACGUCGUCGGUGUGAACUGUCUCUCAUGCGACGUCGUUGGCUGUAAUAGCUUGCAUGCGACAUCUUCGUUGGAAAAAAUAGCUCCCAUGCGACACACCAUUUACGCGGCUAGUUGGUUGUCCGUUAGGCUGAGAUUUGGUUAGGACACUGGGGGUUAUGUGCUCUGACUAGUGGGGUCCACCUAUGGCCACGUAGUCAAGAGUCAACCGUCCACAACUCGACCGGCGACUGUGUGACCGUGCUCGACUCGCCCGUGCUGGACUGGGCGAGCGGCGCCGCCGUAAGCAACUUCUCCGGCAGUGGUUUCUUCUCCGCGGUGGUGGAGCGCAUUUCUCGGCGGCGGCAGAGCUAUUGCGAGAAUCGGGCUCCAUUGGAUCCGGAGGUUGUUUCUUCUCCGCGGCCCGGUGGUGGAGCGCCUAUCCCUGCAGCGGCUAUUGCGAGAGAUGGAGCGAGGGCUAGAUGAGAUGGAGCGAGGAGACGGGCUGCCCCGAGGAGACAGUGCUUCAAAUCGGUAAUGGCACCCUCUU